rnacentral:rRNA from 1 species
CUACGGGUGGCUGCAGUGGGGGAUAUUGCACAAUGGGCGAAAGCCUGAUGCAGCAACGCCGCGUGAAGGAAGACGGUUUUCGGAUUGUAAACUUCUAUCAGCAGGGAAGAAAAUGACUGUACCUGACUAAGGAGCCCCGGCUAACUACGUGCCAGCAGCCGCGGUAAUACGUAGGGGGCAAGCGUUAUCCGGAAUUACUGGGUGUAAAGGGUACGUAGGCGGCUGAUCAAGUCAGAUGUGAAAGCCCGGAGCUCAACUCCGGGACUGCAUUUGAAACUGGUCGGCUAGAGUGCAGGAGAGGAAAGUGGAAUUCCUAGUGUAGCGGUGAAAUGCGUAGAUAUUAGGAAGAACACCAGUGGCGAAGGCGGCUUUCUGGACUGUAACUGACGCUGAGGUACGAAAGCGUGGGGAGCGAACAGGAUUAGAUACCCCCGUAGUC